rnacentral:rRNA from 1 species
AGCAUGUCGGUCUGAGUGUUGGUU